GGUUAAGCGACUAAGCGUACACGGUGGAUGCCCUGGCAGUCAGAGGCGAUGAAGGACGUGCUAAUCUGCGAUAAGCGUCGGUAAGGUGAUAUGAACCGUUAUAACCGGCGAUUUCCGAAUGGGGAAACCCAGUGUGAUUCGUCACACUAUCAUUAACUGAAUCCAUAGGUUAAUGAGGCGAACCGGGGGAACUGAAACAUCUAAGUACCCCGAGGAAAAGAAAUCAACCGAGAUUCCCCCAGUAGCGGCGAGCGAACGGGGAGCAGCCCAGAGCCUGAAUCAGUGUGUGUGUUAGUGGAAGCGUCUGGAAAGGCGUGCGAUACAGGGUGACAGCCCCGUACACAAAAAUGCACAUACUGUGAGCUCGAUGAGUAGGGCGGGACACGUGGUAUCCUGUCUGAAUAUGGGGGGACCAUCCUCCAAGGCUAAAUACUCCUGACUGACCGAUAGUGAACCAGUACCGUGAGGGAAAGGCGAAAAGAACCCCGGCGAGGGGAGUGAAAAAGAACCUGAAACCGUGUACGUACAAGCAGUGGGAGCACAGAGCAAUCUGUGUGACUGCGUACCUUUUGUAUAAUGGGUCAGCGACUUAUAUUCUGUAGCAAGGUUAACCGAAUAGGGGAGCCGAAGGGAAACCGAGUCUUAACUGGGCGUUAAGUUGCAGGGUAUAGACCCGAAACCCGGUGAUCUAGCCAUGGGCAGGUUGAAGGUUGGGUAACACUAACUGGAGGACCGAACCGACUAAUGUUGAAAAAUUAGCGGAUGACUUGUGGCUGGGGGUGAAAGGCCAAUCAAACCGGGAGAUAGCUGGUUCUCCCCGAAAGCUAUUUAGGUAGCGCCUCGUGAAUUCAUCUCCGGGGGUAGAGCACUGUUUCGGCAAGGGGGUCAUCCCGACUUACCAACCCGAUGCAAACUGCGAAUACCGGAGAAUGUUAUCACGGGAGACACACGGCGGGUGCUAACGUCCGUCGUGAAGAGGGAAACAACCCAGACCGCCAGCUAAGGUCCCAAAGUCAUGGUUAAGUGGGAAACGAUGUGGGAAGGCCCAGACAGCCAGGAUGUUGGCUUAGAAGCAGCCAUCAUUUAAAGAAAGCGUAAUAGCUCACUGGUCGAGUCGGCCUGCGCGGAAGAUGUAACGGGGCUAAACCAUGCACCGAAGCUGCGGCAGCGACACUAUGUGUUGUUGGGUAGGGGAGCGUUCUGUAAGCCUGCGAAGGUGUGCUGUGAGGCAUGCUGGAGGUAUCAGAAGUGCGAAUGCUGACAUAAGUAACGAUAAAGCGGGUGAAAAGCCCGCUCGCCGGAAGACCAAGGGUUCCUGUCCAACGUUAAUCGGGGCAGGGUGAGUCGACCCCUAAGGCGAGGCCGAAAGGCGUAGUCGAUGGGAAACAGGUUAAUAUUCCUGUACUUGGUGUUACUGCGAAGGGGGGACGGAGAAGGCUAUGUUGGCCGGGCGACGGUUGUCCCGGUUUAAGCGUGUAGGCUGGUUUUCCAGGCAAAUCCGGAAAAUCAAGGCUGAGGCGUGAUGACGAGGCACUACGGUGCUGAAGCAACAAAUGCCCUGCUUCCAGGAAAAGCCUCUAAGCAUCAGGUAACAUCAAAUCGUACCCCAAACCGACACAGGUGGUCAGGUAGAGAAUACCAAGGCGCUUGAGAGAACUCGGGUGAAGGAACUAGGCAAAAUGGUGCCGUAACUUCGGGAGAAGGCACGCUGAUAUGUAGGUGAAGUCCCUCGCGGAUGGAGCUGAAAUCAGUCGAAGAUACCAGCUGGCUGCAACUGUUUAUUAAAAACACAGCACUGUGCAAACACGAAAGUGGACGUAUACGGUGUGACGCCUGCCCGGUGCCGGAAGGUUAAUUGAUGGGGUUAGCGCAAGCGAAGCUCUUGAUCGAAGCCCCGGUAAACGGCGGCCGUAACUAUAACGGUCCUAAGGUAGCGAAAUUCCUUGUCGGGUAAGUUCCGACCUGCACGAAUGGCGUAAUGAUGGCCAGGCUGUCUCCACCCGAGACUCAGUGAAAUUGAACUCGCUGUGAAGAUGCAGUGUACCCGCGGCAAGACGGAAAGACCCCGUGAACCUUUACUAUAGCUUGACACUGAACAUUGAGCCUUGAUGUGUAGGAUAGGUGGGAGGCUUUGAAGUGUGGACGCCAGUCUGCAUGGAGCCGACCUUGAAAUACCACCCUUUAAUGUUUGAUGUUCUAACGUUGACCCGUAAUCCGGGUUGCGGACAGUGUCUGGUGGGUAGUUUGACUGGGGCGGUCUCCUCCUAAAGAGUAACGGAGGAGCACGAAGGUUGGCUAAUCCUGGUCGGACAUCAGGAGGUUAGUGCAAUGGCAUAAGCCAGCUUGACUGCGAGCGUGACGGCGCGAGCAGGUGCGAAAGCAGGUCAUAGUGAUCCGGUGGUUCUGAAUGGAAGGGCCAUCGCUCAACGGAUAAAAGGUACUCCGGGGAUAACAGGCUGAUACCGCCCAAGAGUUCAUAUCGACGGCGGUGUUUGGCACCUCGAUGUCGGCUCAUCACAUCCUGGGGCUGAAGUAGGUCCCAAGGGUAUGGCUGUUCGCCAUUUAAAGUGGUACGCGAGCUGGGUUUAGAACGUCGUGAGACAGUUCGGUCCCUAUCUGCCGUGGGCGCUGGAGAAUUGAGGGGGGCUGCUCCUAGUACGAGAGGACCGGAGUGGACGCAUCACUGGUGUUCGGGUUGUCAUGCCAAUGGCACUGCCCGGUAGCUAAAUGCGGAAGAGAUAAGUGCUGAAAGCAUCUAAGCACGAAACUUGCCCCGAGAUGAGUUCUCCCUGACUCCUUGAGAGUCCUGAAGGAACGUUGAAGACGACGACGUUGAUAGGCCGGGUGUGUAAGCGCAGCGAUGCGUUGAGCUAACCGGUACUAAUGAACCGUGAGGCUUAACCUU
rnacentral:rRNA from 1 species